CAGACACGGCUGCACUUAGUCUUCGCUGAUGGCUGAAUGAAAAAAAAAAUAAACAUACAGACCUACUGCAGUGAUCAGAGAACGGGCCCACGUUCCCAUUCACCCUGGGCUAAUGCAAAUUAAUUUCAACUCUCCAGCAAAUGAUUCCAGGGGACUCGGCCUCUCACUAGGCCCGCAACAAGAGAGAGUUGCAUCCUCUUGAUUAGACGCCAAAUAGUAACCCUGUUCAGUCCACUGCAGUCCGGGACUUCAACACCUGCAUACAAAUGAGUUACACGUCCAUGUCCAUCUCUCUGUCGCUCCCACCCUCUUCUCUUUCAAUCUCGGCCUCUCUCUGUCGCCCUCUUUCUUAUCGUAACCCCGCCUCCGUGUUCAUUACAUUUCAGCAGAUGAAAUCAAAAUGAAGGACCUGAAAGAAAAAUAUGAGUAUUGGACAGCAAUCUUGUCCCAGUACCUAUUAAGCCCCAUGAAAUUCAGUAACUGAAGCAUAAAAUGAAAAUGAAAGGAAGAUUCUGACUGUAAUU